UACGGAGGGAGCUAGCGUUGUUCGGAAUUACUGGGCGUAAAGCGCACGUAGGCGGCUAUUCAAGUCGGGGGUGAAAGCCCGGGGCUCAACCCCGGAAUUGCCUUUAAGACUGCAUCGCUUGAAUCCGGGAGAGGUGAGUGGAAUUCCGAGUGUAGCAGUGAAAUGCGUAGAUAUAGCGGAGGAACACCGAUGGCGAAGGCAAUCCCCUGGACCUGUACUGACGCUCUGCACGAAAGCGUGGGGAGCAAACAGG
rnacentral:rRNA from 1 species